UACGUAGGGGGGCAAGCGUUGUCCGGAUUUAUUGGGCGUAAAGAGCGUGUAGGCGGCCAUACAGGUCAGCUGUGAAAACUCGAGGCUCAACCUCGAGACGUCGGUUGAAACCGUAUGGCUAGAGUCCGGAAGAGGAGAGUGGAAUUCCCGGUGUAGCGGUGAAAUGCGCAGAUAUCGGGAGGAACACCAAUUGCGAAGGCAGCUCGCUGGGACGUUACUGACGCUGAGACGCGAAAGCGUGGGGAGCAAACAGG
rnacentral:rRNA from 1 species